UGGGGAAUAUUGCACAAUGGGCGAAAGCCUGAUGCAGCAACGCCGCGUGAGUGAUGAAGGUCUUCGGAUUGUAAAGCUCUGUCUUUUGGGACGAUAAUGACGGUACCAAAGGAGGAAGCCACGGCUAACUACGUGCCAGCAGCCGCGGUAAUACGUAGGUGGCGAGCGUUGUCCGGAUUUACUGGGCGUAAAGGGUGCGUAGGCGGAUGUUUAAGUGAGAUGUGAAAUACCCGGGCUUAACUUGGGUGCUGCAUUUCAAACUGGAUAUCUAGAGUGCAGGAGAGGAGAAUGGAAUUCCUAGUGUAGCGGUGAAAUGCGUAGAGAUUAGGAAGAACACCAGUGGCAAAGGCGAUUCUCUGGACUGUAACUGACGCUGAGGCACGAAAGCGUGGGUAGCAAACAGGAUUAGAUACCCUGGUAGUCCACGCCGUAAACGAUGAGUACUAGGUGUAGGAGGUAUCGACCCCUUCUGUGCCGCAGUAAACACAUUAAGUACUCCGCCUGGGAAGUACGAUCGCAAGAUUAAAAC
rnacentral:rRNA from 1 species